UUUGAGCAUGAGGAACUGAUGUAUACAAUUGAGUUUUUGGAUCUGAAAAUGUAUGAUGCUUCAGGAUUUAGCAGGUCAUAUAAAAGGAAGAGUUAUAUCCUUGAGUGCCUGUCCCUGAAAAUGGUGAAGAAAUUUGGCAACUAUCAUACACUGAGACCACUACAAAAGAGGUUCUCCAACCUCAAAGUGAGACAAAAGACCACUCUAGAGAAAAUUCGUAAGAAAAUCAGAGGACAAACAGGUAGAACCGCUCACCACUCCUACGUCUACUGCACGUCCUCGUGCUACGGACACCGGUACCACUCCCGGUUCAAUAGAAACCACAAAAGAAGACGUCCGGCACUCAGGGAAUAGCAGGUGGGAUUGGAAGGCAAUAUCAACACAAUAACAGAUUAUUGUUGUUCAUAAAAUAUCUGAUAAUUAUUUAAUACUCCCAAAAUAAGGGUUGCCAAUAUAAAACAUAUCUGGAUUGCCUGAGGACAGAUUGAGAAUUGAAUAAUUAGUUUUCUACUCUUUCUCCUUUGAAGAAGAUCAAUUCCCAAACAUUUCCUGUAGGACUAUUAAAUGUGGGCCUGGAUUGUGAGAAAAAUGUUUCUAGCUUCACACUAUUUGUACACAAAUCAAAUCUGGAAAAGUCCUAUGUAUGAAGCGUAUAUGUUCUAGAAAUGAGGACUUAGAGAGAAGUGCGCAUGAAUUAAAACACAUCGUUUCGGCAACAGGGGGUACAGCAAUAGUUGUAUUAAAAGAGCGUUUGAGAGGGCAAAAAGUGCCAGCAGAUGUCAACUCCUACAACCAAGUCAUCA